UACGGAGGGAGCUAGCGUUGUUCGGAAUUACUGGGCGUAAAGCGCGCGUAGGCGGCUUUGUAAGUUAGAGGUGAAAGCCCGGGGCUCAACCCCGGAAUUGCCUUUAAGACUGCAUCGCUUGAAUCCGGGAGAGGUGAGUGGAAUUCCGAGUGUAGAGGUGGAAUGCGUAGAGAUCCGGAAGAACACCGGUGGCGAAGGCGGCCUGCUGGGCUAUGGCUGACACUGAGGCGCGACAGCGUGGGGAGCAAACAGG
rnacentral:rRNA from 1 species